CGCCGCAUGAGAAGGUUUAACACAAAAACACAACUACUAAUUGAAGCAUUCCUCUUGCAUCGUCUCGUGGUGAAGUCAGCGGUCCGGGAAAGGUGUUAUAUUUGCGUAAAAGAGAAGCCACCAAGAUCAGAUUUCAAAAAUGAAGAAUUAUAUAUUGGUUUUGUUGAUCGUGAUAGGAAUCAUCUCUCUCACAGUGCACGCAGAUGAUGAAAGUGGAUCAGGUUCCGAUUCUGGUUCUGGUGCAGAAGAUUUACCGCCGGCAACUGAUGCAGUACCGGUAGUCGAUGAAGCUGCCGAGGACGUUGCCGCGGAAGAGGAAGAGAUAGCUAUUAUAAUGAAUUAAACAUUAGAUUCAGCAUUUAACACCAGGUCUCCUUCAAAAGAAAUCGUUGAUGGCAGGUGAUUGGUCGUUCGCAGUCAACCAUUUACAUGUCGCAACAAAUUCCAUUUGCUGGCUCCAUCACGUGACAGUACUUCUCUCAUCGGAUUUUCAAGUGCAUAGCAUAAAUUGUAAAUUUGAGAAAAUUAUUUAAAAAAUGAUAUACACAAAAUUGUGUCGGUAUACUUUUUGAGGAUUUGGUUUAUAGGUCAUUCCAUUUACAAUAUAGGAGUGAAGGGUCAUUAUUUGGUGGUGAAGGGGCUUACAAUGCAACCAUACCAUUUACCCUAUGGGGGUGGAGGCCGCAAUUUAGAACAAUUAUAUUUUAUUAAUCUCCCGCAUGGCACAGUGUACCUUAAAGUGCAAUAUUAAUAUUUAAAAGUUAAUUUAAUUGGUAUUUGGUUUAGUUAUCAUAUGAUUGGGAGACUGUUCACCACACUGUGUACAAUUUCGAUUAUGUGUAGUAUACAAGUUAUUUAAGGCAACAUCAAUAAGAUUUCAUUUCAUAUUAACUAAUUUGUUCAUUUCACCAUACCACUAUCACUUGUUCAUUCCACUAUACAACUAUUUCCUUAGUUCACUUCACCACACUAGUUAAUUUGUUCAUUUCACCAUACCACAACCAUUUCAUUUGUUCAUUCACUACACCACAGCCAUUUCAUUCGUUCGUUGCACCAAAUCACCAUUUCAUUACACCACAACCAUUUUAUUAGUUCAUUGCACCAAAUCACCAUUUCAUUUCAUACCACCAUUUCAUUGCACCAAAUCACCAUUUCAUUUCACUACACCACAACCAUUUUAUUAGUUCAUUGCACCAAAUCACCAUUUCAUUUCACUACACAACCAUUUUAUUAGUUAAUUGCACCAAAUCAUUUCAUCAUACCACAACCACUUCAUUAGUUCAUUGCACCAAAUCACCAUUUUAUUAGUUAAUUGCACCAAAUCACCAUUUCAUUUCAUCAUACCACAACCAUUUCAUUAGUUCAUUGCACCAAAUCACCAUUUUAUUAGUUAAUUGCACCAAAUCACCAUUUCAUUUCAUCAUACCAUAACCAUUUCAUUAGUUCAUUGCACCAAAUCACCAUUUCAUUUCAUCAUACCACCAUUUCAUUGCACCAAAUCACCAUUUCAUUACACCACAACCAUUUUAUUAGUUCAUUGCACCAAAUCACCAUUUCAUUUCACUACACCACAACCAUUUUAUUUGUUAAUUGCACCAAAUCAUUUCAUCAUACCGCAACCACUUCAUUGCACCAAACCACCAUUUCAUUUCAUCAUACCACAAUUAUUUCAUUUGCUCACUUCCUCAAUUCACUUAUUUUUAAUUUCACCUAAUCACCCAAUCACACCCUGUUCAUUUUCACCGUACCAUUUACUAACUCAUAAAAUUACUGUCAAUCAACAUAUCCCAUCAUACAUCACUGGGAAUUUAAAUCAUUUUAGUAUUGAAAAUAAGAGAACGAUUCUCUGGUUGCGACUACUUGUACGACAAUUUGCCGCUGAUUUUUGGAGAUACUAAUUAUUUGUCUUGCAUUGUGGAUGGAGUAUGAAUAUAUAAAUUUGUUUCUCCUGUUUUAGAAAGAUUUCUCAAUCUUUCAAAGACAAUCUUUAUGUUAGAUACAUAAGCUCUGUGUUAUUUUUGGAAUUAUAUAUGCCCUAAUUUGCAUAUGAAACACCAUUAGUUACAACUGCUGUAUUGGAAUCACUUGUUACCAUGGUAACAAUGCAAUAAAGAUCUCUUAAAAA